rnacentral:rRNA from 1 species
GGGUCAGUAGGUUGGUCGUGUCACCGGUACGUACUGGUCUCACUGAUUCCUCCUUCCUGAAGAACCGUAAUGCCAUUAAUUUGGUGUUGCGGGGAAACAGGACUGUUACUUUGAAAAAAUUAGAGUGUUUAAAGCAAGCUAACGCUUGAAUACAUUAGCAUGGAAUAAUGAAAUAGGACGAUCGAUCCUAUUUUGUUGGCUUCUAGGAUUGACGUA